rnacentral:rRNA from 1 species
GAAUGGCAUCACGAGGGUUAAACUGUCUCCCCUCUCUAAUCAGUGAAACUGAUCUCCCCGUGAAGAAGCGGGGAUAUUUUUAUAAGACGAGAAGACCCUAUGGAGCUUUAAACCGCGCAACAACUGCUUUCCCACCUUAUACUUCCAGGAUAAUAAACUAUAUCUUAGCAUAAUGUUAACCGGUUUUCGGUUGGGGUGACCGCGGAGCAAAAAUUAACCUCCACGAUGAAAGAAACUUUAUUUCUUAACCCAGAGCUACAACUCAAAGUAUCAAAAACCUGACAUAAAUUGAUCCAAUCUAUUUGAUCAACGAACCAAGUUACCCUAGGGAUAACAGCGCAAUCUACUUCAAGAGCCCCUAUCGACAAGUGG